rnacentral:lncRNA from 1 species
UCUCUCCCUCCAGCCCCACUCGAGGGUAAUCGAUGUCUUCAAGUUCAUUCCUAACAGAUCUGAUAGCUCCCACAUAAGACUACAAAACAACAUCCGAGAACCUUAGUCGCAUUAACGGGUUAAGCCCACCGAAGUGCCUACACCGGCACUGAGGUCCUUGCACCUCCCACCAGGCGUACCACACCCCACACCGGGGUGCGCUGCAAAGUACGUCACUGUGCGAGUUGUCGUGGCUCUAUCUCUCCCCCUUGUGCGCACAACUAGAGAGGACACCGCCCUGAUCAAUCGAGAGAGCAAACAAGACUCGCUUCGCGUCACAGCGCCCCCCUUCGCUGUACAACUUCUCCAAAAUUGCUUGGUCUCUUGCUGUACAGCUUCUCAAAUUGACUUGGUCUCUUCUUUUGAGCUUAUCUAUAGGACAUCCUGCACUGGUUGCAUCACUCGUGUUGGCCAGACUUGUAAUAUCCCAAAGCAUCUCUGCGCUAUGUAUCAAUCGGAUCCUCUAGUUACUCCUGCGCUUGCUUGCGGUACCUCUGUUGCAACGGUGCUUCCCUUGUCAUUCUUAUCGCUAAUACUACUGGACCCUGUCGGACAGUAGAUCCUCCGUCUGCACACUCCCCUCCAAUUGGUAUAGGCCCUCCAGUCUUCUUUCUCACAACAUCUCUUUGUUUCCAUGAAACUUGAUGCGUCCUCCCUAGCGUCAAAAAACUACAUUCAUUGAAUCUUAGCAAUCCAAGAGAAAUCAAAAAUUUUCUGUAGCAUUAGGAAUAUGUAUGCCUUACCAUCAGUCAACGUCAACAGACCUCCGUCUGCUUACGGAACCGGACUGACCCCUGCCACACAUGUAGCCUGUGUUGUUCGUCAUCCAACACGUCCCUGCAUGGUGCAUAUGUCGAGAACACCUCUCUAUCUUGCAAAAGUGGUUACGUAAGCACUGCCUGAAAUCCAAUAUCCAAUCUAACUUUCCAUCAUCCGAUUCGGCUAAGAUAACAUCAUCUCAUCCUCAUCCAAAUCAUCACUAUUGUCGUGCUGUAUUGAAGAACCGAUCCCGUACUUUAUCCUUUGGACAAUCCCUCUUGAUAUCCCCUCCUGGUCGCAAUAAAAGCACCUACAGUGCGACCUCUCGAUUUGACUCCACAGUCCUUUUCCAGUACCUUUGUGAGACCUUUCCUGACCUCGGCCUCUUUCCAUACUUCCCUCUGAGACUAGGGCCUGUGACUCACUUGAAUCUGUUCGAACACACUCUCUCUCCGAGCAUCUCAUUGAACAGCGGGAUCCAUGACCAUACUCGUAGUCACUUUAUAUUCGGCGCUGAAUUGCUGAGAGAAACCACAAUGUCUCCCACUUCUUUGCAAGGAACUAAGAAGCAUAAGGCCUGUAUCUCAUCGCCAAACUGUAGGUCAACAGGGUCAACUGAUUGACCAAAAUCUGAAAAACUCGUUGUAUGUUCCGCAACUAUGUCUCUCUCUGAAAACUUCAAAUUCACAAGCCUCCUCAUACAUUAAUAAGGCUUUAUUCCGAGAUGUUUUCGCUGGUACUCUCCUCCAAACUGAUCACAAUCAUAAGCACAGUCUCCUGUGCUACAUGAUGGACCACCUCGUGUCCAAUGCAAUAUCUGAUUAGCCCAAUUGGUCUUUAUGUUCAUCUUCUUCCAUUCCCAUCUCGUCGCUAAAGGUUUUUUCCUUUAUCUCCAAAGGGUCAUGCAAAUCUUGCAAAAAUAGGAUGUGUCCUCCCAUCCUAGGUUCCAUAUGACGUUAAUUCGUUGCAUAAAAGACAAUCAUCGAUCCCAAAUAUACUCUGCCAUCUUACUUCUUCCAAAAUAGAAACAAAUAUCGAAAACCAACCCGCGGAUGAAUUAGGAAUGCUGAGAAAAAACCCAGGCAAUGGCUAGAUUGUCAAAAUCAGAAAAUUUUCGGGACCAAAACAAAUUGUCAAAAUCAGAAAGUUUUGCUGGCCAAAUCGACAAUUAAAAGUACUGGGCCCAAAUGACAAAAUUAGAAAACUCCUGGACCAAUUAAAAAUAUUCAAAACUUUAGGGACUAAACUAAAUUAAACAGAAACUCAUAGGAACCAAUCUGAAUUAAUAAAAACUCUAGCGACAAUCUGUAAUUACCCAAAAAAUCAGGGGCUAAAAGUAUAUUUAUCGGUCAAAGUCAACGUCAAACGGUCAACGAUCAGAGGCAACUGACUAGGCACGUGGCUAAGACUAAUCUCAACUCGCCGAGGUUUAGCGGCGGUGCUGAGGGCGCGUCCUGGGACUAGUUUUUUCGACGCGGUUUAGUGCUAGAGUUCCGUUAUCGACAAAAGGAACAAUUGGUGUAAUCAAAAAUUAAUUUUGAGCACUUCCACGGACACCAGACCGAAUUUAACCUGGGCUCCGGAAUCGCCUUGAACUAGGGGAAUCUGAUACCAAUUGUUGGGCUCAAAACUAAUUACCAUCACAACACACACAAAAGACAAUAAAGAUUUACGUGGUUUUUGGCAACGAUUGCCUACGUCC